rnacentral:rRNA from 1 species
AUUGAACGCUGGCGGCAUGCUUUACACAUGCAAGUCGAACGGUAACAGGUUAAGCUGACGAGUGGCGAACGGGUGAGUAAUGCAUCGGAACGUGCCCGGUCGUGGGGGAUAACGCAGCGAAAGCUGCGCUAAUACCGCAUACGAUCUGAGGAUGAAAGCGGGGGACCGUAAGGCCUCGCGCGAUCGGAGCGGCCGAUGUCAGAUUAGGUAGUUGGUGGGGUAAAGGCUCACCAAGCCAACGAUCUGUAGCUGGUCUGAGAGGACGACCAGCCACACUGGGACUGAGACACGGCCCAGACUCCUACGGGAGGCAGCAGUGGGGAAUUUUGGACAAUGGGCGAAAGCCUGAUCCAGCAAUGCCGCGUGCAGGAAGAAGGCCUUCGGGUUGUAAACUGCUAUUGUACGGAGCGAAAAGGCCUCCUCUAAUACAGGGGGCUCAUGACGGUACCGUAAGAAUAAGCACCGGCUAACUACGUGCCAGCCGCCGCGGUAA